rnacentral:lncRNA from 1 species
AAGAAAACUGGAAAUAAUUUCAAGGAAGUAUGUAUCAAGUGGAGGCAGAUGCCAGAGUGUCAGAACACAGCUUACGACCCUGGUGCAGAAAGACAAGCUCUCAGUUAAGCUGCAGUGACUCUCAGGAACGUCUCUCGGCUCUCGGCUCCAGGCCUUCAGGGCCAGAACCUCUGAGAGAUGCAGACUGAAAUCAAGCCAAGACAUCAACAGCCAGCACUGACAGUGUGGGUGAGGAGAGGGGUGUGGCUGUGUCUCCCUGAAAGCUGCUUAACUCCUAAGAGACUGAACUAUGACCAAGAGCCUGUAGCAAGGGUGAAGUGCAUUGCUGGAUCUCUGGAAGGUAGAGUGGAUCACGCAGGAAGAAUCAGAUCCUAG